rnacentral:rRNA from 1 species
UACGGAGGGGGCUAGCGUUGUUCGGAAUUACUGGGCGUAAAGCGCGCGUAGGCGGACCUGCAAGUCGGGGGUGAAAGCCCGAGGCUCAACCUCGGAACUGCCUUCGAUACUGCGGGUCUCGAGUCCGGGAGAGGUGAGUGGAAUUCCUAGUGUAGAGGUGAAAUUCGUAGAUAUUAGGAAGAACACCAGUGGCGAAGGCGGCUCACUGGUCCGGUACUGACGCUGAGGAGCGAAAGCGUGGGGAGCGAACAGG